UACAGAGGCCUCGAGCGUUAGGCGGAAUCACUGGGCUUAAAGCGUGUGUAGGCGGAGUGCUAAGUACCUUGUGAAAUCCCACAGCUCAACUGUGGAAUUGCUUGGUAUACUGGCGUUCUUGAGCCAUCUAGGGGCGAGCGGAACAAAUGGUGGAGCGGUGAAAUGCGUAGAUAUCAUUUGGAACGCCAACGGUGAAAACAGCUCGCUGGGGGAUGUGCUGACGCUGAGACACGAAAGCCAGGGGAGCAAACGGG
rnacentral:rRNA from 1 species